GAUGAAGAACGCAGCGAAAUGCGAAAAGUAAUGUGAAUUGCAGAAUUCAGUGAACCAUCGAAUCUUUGAACGCACAUUGCGCCCGCUGGAACUCCGGCGGGCACGCCUGUCCGAGCGUCAUUUCAACCCUCAGGCCCCCCUUCGCGGGCGGGCCUGGUGUUGGGGCCCGGCCGCUACCCUGCGGCCGUCCCCUAAAUCCAGUGGCGGCCUCGCCGUGAUCCCUUGCGUAGUAAUGCACCUCGCACCGGAGAGCGCCUUGGCCACGCCGUAAAACCCCCAAUUUUCAAUGGUUGACCUCGGAUCAGGUGGGAAUACCCGCUGAACUUAAGCAUAUCAAUAAGCGGAGGA
rnacentral:misc_RNA from 1 species